AUGUUGGCUGGGCCCUUUCCUGGAGCACCUCCAGGCUGGGAGCUCCCAUACCCCUCUGGCCUCACGGUCAGCCCAGCACAGGGAGGAGAACAGGAGCAAGGCCCAAGGGUCCCACUGGAUGUUGGACUGUGGCCCAGGGCAGGUGGGCAGCUGGUGCAGGCAGGAGGCACAGAGCCAACCAGGAAGGCGGGGAAGGGCUGGCGGCACCAUCCAAUCUCUGGGGCCAGUGCCCUCAUCCCAGCAGGAAGCACCCCACGCGCCUGUUCCCAGACCCCCGUUCCCAGGCCCAUGCCUCCCUCCCUCCCGCGGCGAGCUGAGCGGGAGCAUAGGCGGCAUUUGUGGGAAACCGGGACUCAGUGCGCAGAGAGGGAGUCAAUUUAUUCUGGAGAAAACAUCUUUGUUCUGCGAGUGAAGGGGAGCCAUUUCCAACAAUUUAAUGCUCUGUUCACGGGCCCGGGUGCUGGGGUUGCAGCACGAGGCUUGUUCUUCGAGGCAGAGCAGCACAUAAUGAGGCUUCUCACUGCCGCUCCCCGCCAUCCUGCCAAAAACCAGAACGGUUAUUUAUCCAUUAAUCUGACAUUACACCCCCUGCAUUUUAUCUGCUUAAAUAAAUUUGGUGGUUAGAGUGUGUGCCUGGCGGAGAAACUCCCGCAUUCAAUUUCCUAGGUGCCAACGUGUGCGUCAGGGCCAUUAUCAACUCGCCUCUGACACCCUGGGGCCUCGGCGGUCCCAGCUGGGAAAUGCAGAGGGCAGCAGCCAGGAUCCAGCCUCUCCCAGCUCAUUCAGUUCCAGGCCCCUGUUCUCCAGACACUGUCUGCCUGGGGUCCCCACCAUGCACCACAGUCCCUGAGUCCCAUGUUGGUGGCCUUUCUCCCAACAAGAUAAACCACCUCUUUCCACUAUCACCUUUGGGCCACAGGGAACAGCGGAAAAACCUAGGACCCUGCUGCCUGGGCUGGAAUCCUGGCUGGGCCACACACUAGCUAUGUGACCUGACUGUGAGAUGUCACUUCUCCUUUCUGUACCUCAUUUUCCUCAUCUCAUUCCCAGGGUUGUUGUGAGCAUUAAAAGAGGUCAUAUUUGUAAAGUGUUUAGAACAGUGCCUGGCGUAUAUAAAGUGCUCAGUAAAAGUUGGCUUAAUAGAUACAUACUUUUUAAAAUCUAGGGCAAGUGUUUGUACACAGGGCUUUGGAAAUAAACUAAACAACUGGGUCCUAAAUGCA
rnacentral:lncRNA from 1 species